rnacentral:misc_RNA from 1 species
GAAAUGCGAUACGUAGUGUGAAUUGCAGAAUUCCGUGAAUCAUCGAAUCUUUGAACGCAUAUUGCGCUCAAGGCCUCGGCCAAGAGCAUGUCUGCCUCAGCGUCGGGUUUCAACUCAUGUCCAUCAUCGAUUGCCCAAUCUCUGGGUGGUUGCAUGAGGACGUGGACUUGGCAGUUUCCUUGUGCCAUUACAGGCAUACAGGGAUCUGCUUAAACGUUAUGUUGCUUCGCCUCUCUUCUAUGAGUCGCAGCCGAGUAGUCAACUCGUUUGAUUGCUUGUCAGUCUGUGGUGACUUAGUUGUGAGGGCAGGGUGUCCUUGUGACAGUCUGUUAAGUUGCAAUGUGAUCAAGGAAACUCCACACAUUCUCGACCUGAGCUCAGGCAAGAUUACCCGCUGAAC